rnacentral:pre_miRNA from 2 species
GAAUGCAUUACUGGGCAAUUACUCCUCUGGCAGUUAACUAAUUAGUCUUUUGCUAACACUAACCGCCAAGGGAGAUUUGCCCCGCAAUUCAUCA